UCUUCGGAGGACAAAGUGACAGGUGGUGCAUGGUUGUCGUCAGCUCGUGUCGUGAGAUGUUGGGUUAAGUCCCGCAACGAGCGCAACCCUUGAACUUAGUUGCCAUCAUUCAGUUGGGCACUCUAAGUUGACUGCCGGUGACAAACCGGAGGAAGGUGGGGAUGACGUCAAAUCAUCAUGCCCCUUAUGAUUUGGGCUACACACGUGCUACAAUGGACAAUACAAAGGGCAGCGAAACCGCGAGGUCAAGCAAAUCCCAUAAAGUUGUUCUCAGUUCGGAUUGUAGUCUGCAACUCGACUACAUGAAGCUGGAAUCGCUAGUAAUCGUAGAUCAGCAUGCUACGGUGAAUACGUUCCCGGGUCUUGUACACACCGCCCGUCACACCACGAGAGUUUGUAACACCCGAAGCCGGUGGAGUAACCAUUUUGGAGCUAGCCGUCGAAGGUGGGACAAAUGAUUGGGGUGAAGUCGUAACAAGGUAGCCGUAUCGGAAGGUGCGGCUGGAUCACCUCCUUUCUA
rnacentral:rRNA from 1 species